ACAAUCCAAAUGGGUAGCACAUUUACAAGCCAAACAAUAAUAAAACCAACAACUCUUCCCAACACCUCUUUGACAAACAUAACACAUCAAAUCCACGUCCUUAUCCUUCCCGAGAAAAACAUUACUAUAAGACAACGUAAGAGGAUGUUGAUGAUCUUUCCUCUCUUCAAUCUCCGGCAACGAAGCACAUUCGACAUGAAGAUCAAACUUACACUUCUCACAAUGAAACGUAAAAGCAUGACCUGAAAAGAAAAACAUUACUAUAACUCAACGUAAGAGGAUGUUGAUGAUCUUUCCUCUCUUCAAUUUCCGGCAACGAAGCACAUUCAACAUGAAGAUCAAACUUACAUUUCUCACAAUGAAACGUAAAAGCAUGACCCGA
rnacentral:lncRNA from 1 species